rnacentral:lncRNA from 10 species
UAAAUACAAAUUCACCAGUUUACAAACAGAAAAACUAUCUGAUCCAAACAGUGUUUUUUAUCUUAAUAGAAAAAUAACAGCAAAUUUAAAGCAGGCAGAGAAGAAACUAGAGAAAAAAGAGGACUCAGGAACUCUACAGUUUGCAGGUCAACCUCAGGGCUCCUUUUUUUUUAAUGUAAAUGUGCAGAAAGACCAUAUUACUUCCACUUUACAUAAACUCUGGCAAGUAGAGGCGCCAUGAACCCUAUGGAGUACUCGGCUGGGAGGAGCAAACGCCCUUUCUCUUUGGAGCUGAGAAAACUCAAUCUCUCAUUUACCUAUGACAACAACAGUUCAGUUCCUCAUGCAAAUACAUAGACAACCCAAACUGAGAUUCAUUUUGGGAGAAAAAGCAAUAGAGAAGACCCUUUAGGAUGCAUCUCUGAACUAGAAUUAGGAUCCUUAAAUCACAGCUUCCUAGAAGAGAAAAAAAAAAAAACAAAAAAACAGCCAAGACCAUUCCCUGUAAACUGUGCUCAGCCACCCCUUCUUUGUAGUUCUCGUCUGCCAUUACACACGCCAAGGUCAAAUCCUCUCACAGUGCAGGGUCAUCUCUGGUUCCCCCAAAGCCAAAGAGGUCAGGUCAUGCCGUACAGGAAGACAGCAGAGCUUUAGACCUAAGAAGAAUCCGCCCAUCACUCUUGAAACUCCACAAAGAAAACAGAGCACCCUGGAAGGGGUGAGUGGCCCCUUUGUUCCGGAUCCUUUAAAGGGGCUCGAGUCAUUGGAAGCCUUCUCUAGAUUUUUUUGGUCCCGCAGAUGGCAAAGGCAGGAGGAGGUAUAGGGAGGAAGAAAAGUAAGUGAAAGAGCAUUUGUUGUUUUUGUUUGUUUGUUUUUUAAGACAGAAAGCAAACACAGAAACCAAGCACGUGAUUUGUUGUUUUCGUUUAGUUUUUUCCUCUUUUGCAGCUGCAAGGAAUUUUAGCCAAAUUAGAGAGGCUUUGUUACCCAUAAUUUGGAAUUCUCACUUGGAUUUGACCAAGUCAGGUAGAGUUGGUCAAAUCUGAUGAGAGAAAGACCAGAAAAAACAACAACAACAAAAGUCAAAUGAUAUGACCACAGACUGCUCUAAUGGGAAGAAGAAAUUCAGACCAGCUGGUUGUUAACCUUCAGCCAAGACAAAACCUCAGUUCAGCUACUUACCUAGGGAUGGGUCUCAGGCUGAAGACUGCUCUCUACCAUCCUUGAAGCAGGAAAAAAACUCGAACUUGUCUUCCCUGCUGGGAGCAAGCUCAAACUCCAUAAAAGAGUUGUCAGCCUUCCAUCAUCACGGACCCAGGAAAUCUUGCCUUCCUUCUUGGAAGCAAAUAAAACUCCAAAAGAAGGAGAGGGGGAGUUGUACAUCAAAUAAACUUUAGAUCACGACCAAGUUUUGAGAGAUCAGGGACUCUAUGGAGGGGGUGCUCCCAGACCUCAGCAAAUUGUCCUGUUGGUUUGAGCCAUAAGGUUAGCUCAUGGUGCUACCAAGCACCAAUAGAUCUGUCAAAGGUCAGGGGUACCUCAACUCAGAAUCCCUCCAUGGUUACCAAAAUGUGAACCCCCCAAAUCUGAGACAGGUCUCAGUUAAUUUAGAAAGUUUAUUGUUCCAAGGUUGAAGAUGCACACCCGUGACACAGCCUCAGGAUGUCCUGACGACAUGUGCCAAGGUGGUCAUACGUUUUAGGGAGACAUGAGACAUCAAUCAACACAUGUAAGAUGAACAUUGGUUCAGUCUGGAAAAGGCCGGGCAACGCCAAGCAAAUGUGGGACAACUCGCAGCCAGGAGAAAGCUUCCAGGUCACAGGUGGGUGAGAGACAAAGGUCGCAUUCUUUUGAGUUUCUGAUGGGCCUUUCCAAAGAAGGCAAUCAGAUAUGCAUCUAUCUCAGUGAGCAGGGGGUGAUUUUGAAUAGAAUGGGGGGCAGGUCGGCCCUAAGCCAUUCCCGGCUUGACUUUCCCCUUUAGCUUAGUGAUUUUGGGGGCCCAAGAUUUAUUUUCCUUUCACAAAACAAUAAACAUAACAAAUAAGUGAAUUAUAGAAAGGUGAAAACUAUGGAAAAAAAAGAAAAACAGAGAGAAAGAAUCCUGAACACUGACGUGGGGAGGGCAGGUGCCAGCUGCAGUACUAAAUACUGGUGUGGGGAGGGCAGGUGCCAGCUGCAGUACUAAAUACUGGUGUGGGGAGGGCAGGUGCCAGCUGCAGUACUAAAUACUGCUGUGUGGAGGGCAGGUGCCAGCUGCAGUACUAAAUAGCAGAGGGGAGGGCAGGUGCCAGCUGCAGUACCAAAUACUGGUGUGGGGAGGGCAGGUGCCAGCUGCAGUGCGUGGGGAGGGCAGGUGCCAGCUGCAGUACUAAAUAGCGGGGGAAGAUUUUUUUCUGAGCAACUUUGAGUCACUGCUCACAUCUCAUGCCAAUGUAUUAAUCCCAAGUCAAGGGUCAGAUGAGGCACUCGGAUCUCUCCAGUUGCCAACACAGCUCUUCCAAGUGUACUUUACUUCCUUUCAUUCCUGCUCUAAAACUUUAUUUAUGUAUUUAUUUUUGAGACAGAAUCUUGCUCUGUCGCCUAGGCUGGAGUGCAGUGGCACAAUCCCAGUUCACUGCAACCUCUGCCUCUGGGAUCAGGCAAUUCUCCUGCCUCAGCUUCCUAAGCAGCUGGGAUAACAGGCGUGCACCACCGUGCUUGGCUAAUUUUUUUUUUCUUUUUUCGUAUUUUGAGUAGAGAUGGGGUUUCACCAUAUUAGCCACGAUGGUCUCGUACUUCUGACCUCAGGUGAUCCACCUGCUUUAGCCUCCCAAAGUGCUGGGAUUACAGGUGUGAGCCACCACGCCCAGCCCUGGCCAACUUUUGUUUUUUUUGAGACAGAGUUUCAUUCUUAUUGCCCAGGCUGGAGUGCGAUGGCCCAAUCUUGGCUCACUGCAACCUCUGCCUCCCAGGUUUGUAGGAUAUAAUAAAUUCUUCUUCAAAGGUUUUAGCCUGUAAAUUGUUAAGUACAAUGAGUUCUGAGAUCCUCUCCAAAGAAUCAAUGUAUCAGUAUGUUCAGCUCUUCAUUUUAAAGUUUAACUUCCUCGUUUUCUUCAUCUCCUUGCCCCUAGUUUCAGUAAACAACCCCCUCCUAGCCUCUAUCACCUGCUCCAUCCUGAGUCACCCCCAGUCACCUGCUCUAAUCUGAGUCAUCCUGAGUCAACAGGGUUUCACCAUGUUGGCCAAGUUGGUCUCGAACUCCUGACCUCAUGUGAUCCGCCCACCUCAGCCUCCCAAAGUGCUGGGAUUACAGGUGUAAGCCAUCGUGCCUGGCCAGUUUUCACUUUAAAAUGAUCUCUAAUACCAACUCUUGGGGUCCGAAUGGGUCCCCACUGGUUUCAAAUGUUGAGCAUGCACAGAUUAUGUGGAUGAGAACUUGCCAGGUGGGCUUACCGAAGGAGACGUGGUAAGAAUCGCCUACAUCUGCCAGGCCCUGAGGACAGGCCCUCUCCACACCGAGGCUUAUUUCCUUGGGUUGCAGAAGAGGAAACGCCAGGGAGCCCAGUAUUCUUUGGUUCAUUCACUUCUUUUUUAUGUUGUAACCUACAUACUGUAAACUACGCCCAGCUUAAGUAGCGUAUACCCUGAUGAAUUUUUAUGUACGUAUGUAUCCCCAGGAUGUAUCCGACACUCAGGUCAAGAUACAGAACGUGCUCAGCACCUCAACAGGUGCCCUUGUGUUCCCUUCCAGUCAAGCCCCCACUUGCCACCACAGAAUGGAACAAUCAUUUUUUUUUUUUUUUUAGAGACAGGGUCUCGCUCUGUCUCCAAAGCUGGAGUGCAGCUCCAUCAUGGUUCACUGCAGCCUCCGCCUCCCGGGUUUGAGCGAUCCUCCCAUUUCAGUGUAACCACCAUUCUUAUCUCUAUCACCAUAGAUUAGCUCUGCAUGUCUUUGAACUUCAUAUAAAUGGAAUCAUGCAUAGAUAGGCUCUUUUGUGUCUGGAUUCUCUCUGUUAACACUGUGUCUGUGAGACUCACUCACGCUGUGUGUAGUAUUAUGCUUCAUCCUUUUUUGUUGUUGCAUAGUAUUCCACUGUAUAAAUAUACCACAAUUUAUUUGUCUGUUUUCCUAUUGCUGUGCAUUUGGAUUGUUUUGUUUUUCACUAUUUUGAAUAAAGCUGCUAUGAACAUCCUUGUGUAUGUCUUGGGUAUACAGAUGGUCCUGGCUUACAAUGAUUGGAUUUAAAAUUGUUUGACUUUAUGAUGGGCUUAUCAGGGUAUUAAAUGUGUUUCUGACUUACAGUAUUUUUGACUUACCACGUGUUUAUUGGGACGUAACCCCUUCCUAAGAUGAAGAGCAUCUGUAUACAUCCAGAAUCCUGUGGAGCAACUCAUAACCCAUGAGGAAUGGAAGCCGACAGACAGACUCAUCCCCAGGACAGGUGGUUCUCACUACAUCUCAUAAAGCUUCUUAGAAGAUCUUACAGGAUUGAGCAACCAGCCAGCCACAGCAGGGGCCAACUGGAUAACACGUCUUUGCAUAGGCUCUCCCUCUGUCCCUGUCACCCUCCCCUUUUCCUAACCUUGUUCCUUGGGAUUAUGUUUUGAAAUAAAUUAUUCAGAGAAAUGAAGCCAAAGCUGACCCAUUAGCCAAUAGCUAGGUUCUGUGAUGACAGAGCUUCUGGGCUAUAAUCGUUUACUGAGAAGCCAGCGUUCCUGAGGGGAUAAUGGCUCGUUCCAUUCAGCUGCAGCAUAGGAGUGAGGGCAGGGCAUUAGCAGAAGAUAACACCAGAAACGUGCUCUGGGGCCUGUUGAUGACUUUCUGUGCCAAGCACAGACAUUUAGCCUUUAUUCUGUAUGUGAUGGGAAGCCAGUGCCAGUGGUGGGUUUGAGCAGGGAACCAGCAACCAGUGGUGGGUUUGAGCAGGGAACCAGCAAUACUCAAGCUCUGCUUGGAUGGAGGCCAGUCAGGGAGGAGUUAGGGCAGGAGGACCAGUCAGGGAGGAGACUUAGGGCAGGAGGACCAGUCAGGGAGGAGACUUAGGGCAGGAGGACCGGUCAGGGAGGAGACUUAGGGCAGGAGUACUGGUCAGGGAGGAGACUUAGGGCAGGAGGACCGGUCAGGGAGGAGACUUAGGGCAGGAGGACCGGUCAGGGAGGAGACUUAGGGCAGGAGGACCGGUCAGGGAGGAGUUAGGGCUGGAGGACGGGUCAGGGAGGAGACUUAGGGCAGGAGGACCGGUCAGGGAGGAGUUAGGGCUGGAGGACCGGUCAGGGAGGAGUUAGGGCAGGAGGACUGGUCAGGGAGGAGACUUAGGGCAGGAGGACCGGUCAGGGAGGAGACUUAGGGCAGGAGGACCGGUCAGGGAGGAGACUUAGGGCAGGAGGACUGGUCAGGGAGGAGACUUAGGGCAGGAGGACAGGUCAGGGAGGAGUUAGGGCUGGAGGACGGGUCAGGGAGGAGUUAGGGCUGGAGGACCGGUCAGGGAGGAGUUAGGGCAGGAGGACAGGUCAGGGAGGAGUUAGGGGAGGAGGACCGGUCAGGGAGGAGUUAGGGCAGGGGGAUUGGUCAGGGAGGAGUUAGGGCAGGGGGAUUGGUCAGGGAGGAGUUAGGGCAGGAGGACCGGUCAGGGAGGAGUUAGGGCAGGAGGACCGGUCAGGGAGGAGACUUAGGGCAGGAGGACUGGUCAGGGAGGAGUUAGGGCAGGAGGACCGGUCAGGGAGGAGUUAGGGCAGGAGGACCGGUCAGGGAGGAGACUUAGGGCAGGGGGAUUCGUCAGGGAGGAGUUAGGGCAGGAGGACCGGUCAGGGAGGAGUUAGGGCAGGAGGACUGGUCAGGGAGGAGUUAGGGCAGGAGGACGGGUCAGGGAGGAGUUAGGGGAGGAGGACUGGUCAGGGAGGAGUUAGGGCAGGAGGAUCGGUCAGGGAGGAGUUAGGGCAGGAGGACCGGUCAGGGAGGAGUUAGGGCAGGAGGACCGGUCAGGGAGGAGUUAGGGCAGGAGGACAGGUCAGGGAGGAGACUUAGGGCUGGAGGACUGGUCAGGGAGGAGUUAGGGCAGGAGGACCAGUUAGGAGGCAGUGACUUAGGACUUCAGCAGUGGCACUAGAAAGGGGAUGGAUAUGAACGACAUUGCAAAGUAAAACUAGAGAGACGGCCGGGCACAGUGGCUCACUCCUGUAAUCCCAGCACUUUGGGAGGCCAAGGCGGGUGGAUCAUGAGGUCAGGAGAUCGAGACCAGCCUGGCCAACAUGGUGAAACCCUAUCUCUACUAGAAAAAAAAAAAAAUAGCCAGGCGUGGUGGCGGGCGCCUGUAAUCCCAGCUACUCCAGAGGCUGAGGCAGGAGAAUUUGCUUGAACCAGGGAGUCGGAAGUUGCAGUGAGCUGAGAUCGCACCACUGCACUCCAGCCUGGGCAAUAGAGUGAGACUCCGUCUCAAUAACAAAACAAACAAACAAAAACCUAGAGAGACUUGGCACCUUGCAGAGAGAAGCAAAAGAUGACCCUGAGGUCUGGAGUCCAGGAAGCCAAGGACAGCAAAAGCAUCCACAGAAACAGGAAAAGGGCAGGUGUGGGAGGGAAGGUGAGAGGUUCAUCAGACCUCACAGCCCCUGGCAGCGCCUCCUGGAUCUUUGAAAUCCUGUGCACCCCAGGAGACUCCGGGAGGCCCAUCUGAGCUCACCGGAGACAGGUCUGCCGUCUCUCCUCUCAUCACUGGGGACAGAAAGCCUGAACAUGAGGCCUGGACUACGGGGCUCAGACCAGAAUAUUUCCAGACUUAAGGGCAGUAAUGUGGAGCCCAGGAAGGAAUAUUGAGGACAGAGGGCACAUUACUUAGCUCAAGGGGUGCUGGGUUCUUAUUUUCUACUUUCAAGAAAUGUUUGCUAUAGUCACUGUAACCACCACAAAACAGUGAAUAAUACCAUGAGCCAAAUGUAUGUUUCACAAUUUGUAUGGCUGAUUCUACGCACAUUUAAAUGUGUUUAUGACAAUUGUAGAUUUCGGUUUUCCUCUGG